GCACGCAGUAGCAAUACUGAGUGGCAAACGGGUGAGUAUAAUGUGGGAAUCUGCCUUUUGGUCUGGAAUAACACGAGGAAACUUGUGCUAAUACCGGAUAAGCCUUUACAGGGAAAGUUUUAAUGCCAAAAGAUGAGCCCGCACUUGAUUAGCUAGUUGGUAAGGUAAUAGCUUACCAAGGCAACGAUCAAUAGCUGUUCUUAGAGGAAGACCAGCCACAUUGGGACUGAGACACGGCCCAAACUCCUACGGGAGGCAGCAGUGGGGAAUCUUGCACAAUGGGGGAAACCCUGAUGCAGCGAUGCCGCGUGAGUGAAGAAGGCCUUUGGGUUGUAAAACUCUUUCGUCGGGGAAGAAAAUGACUGUACCCGAAUAAGAAGGUCCGGCUAACUUCGUGCCAGCAGCCGCGGUAAUACGAAGGGACCUAGCGUAGUUCGGAAUUACUGGGCUUAAAGAGUUCGUAGGUGGUUAAAAAAGUUGAUGGUGAAAUCCCAAGGCUCAACCUUGGAACUGCCAUCAAAACUUUUUAGCUAGAGUAUGAUAGAGGAAAGUGGAAUUUCUAGUGUAGAGGUGAAAUUCGUAGAUAUUAGAAAGAACAUCAAAAGCGAAGGCAACUUUCUGGAUCAUUACUGACACUGAGGAACGAAAGCAUGGGUAGCGAAGAGGAUUAGAUACCCUCGUAGUCCAUGCCGUAAACGAUGUGUGCUAGACGUUGGAAACUUAGUUUUACAGUGUCGCAGCGAAAGCAUUAACGCA
rnacentral:rRNA from 1 species